CGGACGGCGGCGGCGGCGCGCGCGUGGGGAGCUCUCUCUUCCUCUGAGCCGUUUAAUCUAGGUAAGUGUGUACACUUAUAUAUACUGCUCGUUUUCUCCUCAAGUAGCCGAUGUGGGAUGUCUCUAAACUUCUUUUUUAAAGUCAUUUAAAGGCUUCUUUAGUUAACACCCGCAUGCCCAUUUCUUUUCAUCAUUACCAAUUUUUACUAAAGCCUUUAUGCUUAAUAGAUUGGUCCAACACUUUUCGCUGUUGCCACAGAAGAGAAGAGAAGAGAAGAGAGAGAGAUGGAGAUCGACAAAGCGAUUGGAGAAAGUGAUGAUAAGAGGUUGAAGACCAAGUACAACAACGUCAUCUUUCGUCAUCAAACGAGCUCUUUCUCUUUACUCGUGGGCUCUCUCCUCUCUUCUCCUAUUGCUUUACUUCAUUAAAGUCUUGAUCUUCAGAUUCAUUUGUCUUACAAAACUUUGACCAAAGACAUGAAGCAAAGCUUUGUACUUUUUUCUGGUUCACUUUUUUUUAUCUGUGGUUGAUGCUUUUUGGAGGUGUUUAUUUAUGGAGGUGUUUAAGAUAGUUUGAUAAUUGCCAUAAACAUCUCAAUGUAUCUGAAUGUCAAUAAGUCACCACUCAGUUGUAGUGGUAAGAAGCUGAUAAAGUCGGUAUAUUCAUUCAGGCACCUGAUGAAGAGUUUGAGGAGUACCUUAGGCAUCUUAUUAGUGAGCAGUGCACAUGUGACAGGAAUGAAAUAAGUUCUGUCUUGAAAAACAACUAUUUUAAGACGGAUCAGAGUCCUUUUGCUAUCCAUUGUUGUUGUUGCGUAGAUGGUUUCUCGCCAAGUUGAUUGCUUUGGUGUUUUCAGAUGGCUCAGUUACCAGAAGGAAUCACUGAACUACUGCAUCAUGAAAAGCUUUCGGUGUCAUUGAUCAAGUGCCCCAAUGUGAUUGUUCUUGCUGCUACAAAUACUGAGGAGCUCGACAAGGAGUGGGAAUGUCUGACCGAGCUAACUGAAUUAGGUGGAAGUACAUCCCCAAACUGAUGAUGCAGAUGAAAACAACAACAACAAACCGGAACCAAAGGCUCAAUCUCCCACAUGUGUCUUGUUGCCAUCAGAAGAGUUAUACAAGCUACUUGGUGAAGCUAGUGAGGAAGGGCUUGAUGAGGAGACCAUAGUAGAGUCUCUUUCACUGGGAUUUAAUAAUGUGAAAUAAUUUGAUAGUAGUGUACAUUUUGUAAGAACUAGACGGUUAAAAAAAUGAGUAAUUGCACCCCAUGACCAUGAAACAAAAUGUUAUUAGCUGAAUGGUUAUGACACUGUUACACUUUCAUAAUUCAAUCCUUGCCCCUACACUAGAUCUGAGCCGAGUCUGACACACUGAGCUUCUGCAGCUAUACAGGAUAGAGUAGUUGUAAUUAUUACCCUACUGAACUCUACUACUUCACGCCAUCUCUUGACAUCUGAAACUAAAAGUAUUAAAUUUUGAAGUUAUUCUAGCUCACCUGAUAAUCUGAUAUUUCUCUCUCUAACUAAAUUUCGUCACUUAUCUUUUUCGAGAUCUAUUUGUAUUAUCCUCUAAAAAUCCAGUUUGAGAUUCAACUCUCCAAAGGACACUCUUCUCCCUAUCAUCAGAUUUGCCGCGUCUCGUUUAACAAAAGAAGAAAAACCGUAGGCUCCGUCAAGUCCCACCUCGAGAAUCACCACCUCCUCGCCACCAUCAAAUACGAAGACUUCACCGUCAAGCAGUUCCAAGACCUUUAAAUCCAGUCAUGUUCGGUCCACACACACAAGCAAUAGAUUACCGUUGGUCUGUAUCCUCUCUUUCUCUCUCAGAUAUGGGCACCAAGAACGCGAGAGACAAAACCAACAACAACUGUGCUGAGAUUAACUCUCGUCAACAUCGCAUGUCUUCUUCUUCCUCCGCACCUCCGCCUGAAUUCAUGGGUCAAUCUCCUCCUCAAACCCUUGUGCUACCCAAUCUCCUCUCAUGCUUGUUCCUCAGGUUCUCUCUCCCAUAUUCACUUUGCUUAAAGUGAUGGCUGAAAAAGAGUUUUCUAAGAAGCAUCUUUACCUUAACGUUCUUUCAGCUGGGUUACCAUGUGAGUUGGUCUGUUUUAAUUUGUUCAGAUUCAUAAUUUUUUUUACAAAGCAAGACUGUUUUGGUGUCCCUCAGUAGGUCUCACUUCACAAUCUUUCCCGUCAUUUUCUUGAUUCGAUUGGAGGGGUCUCAAGCUAGAUAGGACAGAUCAAACAGAGCUUAAAUUUUUUUACCAAGAUUCAAGGCUUACACAGUUGCUUCAAAACUUUGAGAAGGAUACACAAAGGAAAAAAACAUAAAAUUUGUGAUUCGGGGAUUGUCUAUGACAAAUGUAUCCCGUUAGCAUAUUUGAUAUCAUAUUCUAAUAACUAAGUAGCUAUGUAGUUGUUAUCUAAUUAUCAUUGAGUUUAUCCUUCUGUUUCCUAGAAUCGAGAUACUAUUGUUAAUAUCCGGUUUUAUGUUUAACAUAACUCAAAAACUUAUGGUCUUAUGUUAUAGAUUAUCCAAAUAACAACCAUAUAAUUAUGAAACAAAACGCUUAUAGAUCAGUCAUAUUUCAACUGGCAGAGUUUACUAUAUACCUUAUUUAAUCAUUUUAAUAUACCAGUCUUAAUUUUUUUAUCCAGAUUACAAGUCGAAAGAAAGAUGGCACACUAGUGUUUUAAGAAGAAAUCCCUAGUUACAUAUAAAUAAUUUUAUCUGUAGCUAAAACCAGUUUAAUAUAAUUUAUUCACAAACCAGAUUUCAAAAACUAAUGUCAUAACCGGUUUUUAUAAAUUAUACACAAUCCAGAUCCAGUACUUAAAACGUUAUACGGAUAAUAAACGUCCUUACCGGUUUAAUAUAAAUUAUUCACAAACCAGAUUUUAAAAACUAAAACUGGAUAAAAAGUUGUAUAAAUGCUAUGCAUAUGUAAUAUCCGGUUAUAAUAAUUAUUAUCUAAAGGUGGUUAGAUGUUAGGUAUAUUAAAGGUGUGUAUGGGAGAGACUGCAAUAAGAUAUGGUGGUCUGGCGGAAGUUAUAUUUGCUUAAACUCCUCCACUUGCCGGUUCGAUUCCAUGAUGUCUUUGUAUGUUCUUUCAGUUAUUUUAAUGGAUGCCAUUUUCGUAAUUCCAUCUUUGUCUUCCUUUAUGGUUUUUUGGGUUUUCUGUAACUCGUUUUACGUCCGUCUUUCAUUUUUCUGUUAAAUCUUUUGUUUUUUUUUGUAUUUUCUUCCUUUUUAACGUCUUCAACCUGCAUAUUUCUCAUGAAACAUUUGAUUUCAAAUUUUCAAAACCAAAAACUUGAGAUUUCCGAUUUAAUGGCUGAAUAGAAUGUAAUCAACACGGUUGACGAACGCUAAGCACUGUGACAGUGAAUAACCGGCCGUCUCAUUUUCGAAUUAUCUUUCUACUCCAUUGAUCUGGUUUAACUCCACCAAUGUUUCAACAAUGAUGUCUUUUUUCUGUCAACUCAACAAUAUCCCUUUAUCAUAUAAUAAUCUAACUAUUAUUUUUAUUCACACGCGCUUCAUUAUAUCCAUAUAUUUUAAAUUCAAAAUUGUGAAAAGAUUAACUAUACCUACACGACAAUAGACUGACACCAAACUAUGCAACCUGACCUGCCUACCCAGCUACAAACCCAGUUUCCGAAAAACUUAUCCCCAAACAGUUCUCUCGUGAGGACACUUACGUAAAACCAACUACUGACACUAUCCAUCUACCUAAUUACACAAAGUUUAUGCACAAGCACCUAAUUAUCUCUCAGUUUUUGGUUAUUCACCUAAAUGACUCUGAAAAAAUCACUUUUGAAUUGAAGGCUACAUACAUAAAAAUUUACAUUUUGGUAGAGUGUGGUUAAAGUUCGUUGUGUAUAUUUCGACUCUUCAAUGUCUUUCACAUAUGGUUACAUCCCUUGUCCGUUCGGUUACAUUAUAUCCACAUAAAGGUCGAAAUGUCCAAGUGAUCAAAGUCAUUCUAUAUAAUCUCAUGAAAUCUUCUACGACAAUCUCCUUCUCAUCGUUUGAUCAAAGUCAUUCUAUAUAAUCUUGUAUCAUCGUUUAUUUCUUUCAAAUUAUUCUCGUUUAUUUUACUAAUCUUUGUUUUUAUUUAAAAAUCAAUGUUUAAAAU